UACGUAGGGUGCGAGCGUUGUCCGGAAUUACUGGGCGUAAAGAGCUCGUAGGUGGUUUGUCGCGUUGUUCGUGAAAACUCACAACUCAAUUGUGGGCGUGCGGGCGAUACGGGCAGACUGGAGUACUGCAGGGGAGACUGGAAUUCCUGGUGUAGCGGUGGAAUGCGCAGAUAUCAGGAGGAACACCGGUUGCGAAGGCGGGUCUCUGGGCCGAUACUGACGCUGAGGAGCGAAAGCGUGGGGAGCGAACAGG
rnacentral:rRNA from 1 species